CUCUGGAGGUUUCUCUUUCCCUCGUGAAACAUAUUCUUCUAGAACCCCUCCCAAUUUUCACGUUGUUGGCCCUUCCGCUCUACUCCCCGGCGACCGCCGGAGUUGAGUUGGACGGAGUGUCACGUCCCUUGUACAGAUUAGUUGUAGUUACGAUCUCAAUAAAGCAGAUUUGGAUUUGAUAUUUCCCCGGCGUCACUCUUUCGUUCUGGAUCUGGCGUGCAGCGGUGCAGGCUGUUGGAGAAGGAGACAUGGAGGUGGUUGCUGCCGUAUCCAUGUUUGACCUCGACGCGGGCGCGAAGACCCGGUUGGCCAUGGGGCACGCGGAUCGGGAUGACAAGGUUCGGCGGCUCCGGGCGCUCAGACAUGGGCACCGGUCGCGCUCUUGCUGCGCGCACGCUCCGAUGUUCAAUUUGUUGUCCUCCGUCUUGUCUGGUAGCACGGCUGGUGCGGGACGAAGGAAUACGACAGCCUUCUGGCGGGUCGCUCAUCCAGUACAACACCCCGCCGACGCAGGCGAGCAGCGUGUCGUCCGCCACUGGUAGGGGCGGCGGCGGCACCGCGUACUCCAGGGAGUGGUACAUGAAGUCGUCGCACUGCAGCACCGAGCACAGCUGCACACCGCGAAGUACUCGCGAGCAGGGCCGACCCUGAGGGCACUCCGCGCGCGCAGUCUCCUCGGCCUCUACUCAUUCUCUUCCCCGAGAUUGGCGGAAAAUCAGGCAGGCUUUUCUGGUUGUUCAUUUGUUCGUGAAGGCAAGGUCUUGCGUGAAGGUCAACCUCCUACAUCGCUGUGUCAGGCACUCUGAUUGCUCAGAGUUAGAAAAGAGGAACGCAGAUUUUUGUCCGUGAACUGUAAGCAGCAACAAGAUCUUGCAAUUUCUAAUUUUGUUUUCUAGCCAUCUACGUGAUUCAGGUGCCUGGUUCCAUGCCCUCCUUUGCAUUUUUUUUAGUUCAAUCAGCAGCGUUCUUAGUUUCUUCUAUCAUAUGUUUGUGUGCUAAUUCCAUGCCUUGCUCCAGUAACUAACAAGACUGCUCUUAAUUUACCAAGAUGUCAUCUAGAAUGUAUCCAUCUGCUAAUGACUUGAUGGAGUCAUAGAAAUGAGCUAUUGACACUUUUUUAGAACAGA